GGCUCUAUAGUGGAAAUUAAAGACGUUAAAUUGCAAAUUUAAAGAUGUGUAUAAGCACUGGGGCUUAG
rnacentral:tRNA from 1 species